AUCUGCCAUUUAUUGAUUUGCUUUAUUGAUUGGUUAUUGUCUUAUAGAAAAUGCUAAAGUUAAUGGGCAAUCGUCUAUCUCUUGUGAAUUAGAGGUAUCACCUCGUUUAGUCAUAUCCUUUGUCCAACUCCUUGAUCAGUUCUGUUCUAGGACAAAUUAUUUGUAAACGUGAGUUUCCGAUGCAUUAUGUUGACCUUUCAAUUUAGUUCUCUCCUCAAGAGUUUAGGCGGAGAAAUGAAAUUUCAUCUUGUAUUGUACCGUGCUUGUUUGCAGAAUUUUGUGAAAAUCUGGUUUGCAUGAUGUCCUCUCAAAGUGAAAAUAAGCCAUUCUAAGAUUAGCAUGAGGGUGGGCAAAUGACAGCACAAUCAAAGCCUGAUAGGAUCUAAAUUAGGUAUUGCAAAAUGCAAACCUAAAGGAUUACGGUUAGGAAUCCUCAAGUAAAACUGGAAUCGCAGGAAUGAGGAACAACCAGAUUUAAGAGAGAAUCAAUAAAUUAAUGAAAACAAAUCUGAUUAGGCCAAAACCUUGGUUGAGUGAUCUAUUUAUCAAGGGGGACUGUCCCUUAAAGUUUGAUUGAAAACUGAUAGCUAUUUUUCAAGUUAUGAAACAAUCCUACUGGAAAUAGGAAAGUUCAUGAACUGCAGAAUCGAUGGACAGUUUAGGGCACGCCCUAAAACAGAACUCAUUCAAUGUGUUAAGUAGGGGUUUGAGAAAUA